ACUGGCUGAAUUGGGUCUUUGACUUGGGAAUCAUUUUUUAAUAGCUUUAUUUAUAUAUAAUUCACAUACCAUACAAUUCAUCCAUUGAAAUUGUACAUUUCAAUGGUGUUUAGUAUGUUCACAGAUCUGUGCGACCAUAGCCACAAUUUUAGAACUAUUUCAUCACCUAUAAAACCCCAUGCCCUUUCACUAUCACCUUUCUAUUCCCACAUCCUUCCCAGCUCUAAGUAACCACUAAUUUACUUUCUCAAUAGAUUUCCUUGUUAUGAACAUAAUAUGAAUGGAGUCAUACAGCACGUGGUCUUUUCUGAUUGGCUUCUUUCACUCAGCAUAGUGUUUUUAUGAGUCAUUCAUGUUGUAGCAUGUACCAGUGCUUCAUUCCUUUUCGCUGCUGAAUACUAUUCCAUUGCAUGAAUUGACCACAUUUCAUGUAUCCAUUCUUCAGCUGAUGAACAUUCGGGUUGUUUCCACCUUUUGGCCAUUAUGAAUCAUAGAACUGGAAUUUUAGAAUUGUCAUGUAGUCUAAGGGAAAAAAAUUUUUGAAUUAGGUAAUUUCCUUAAUAACUUGCUGCUUUUAUGUUGUUUAGCCUAUUGAUUUAAUAUAUUGAGCCCCUGCAAAAUGUGAAAACAUACUGGAAGCUACUUUGAGGUUAUAGUUCUUAAGAAUAUUUAUAACAGUAGUAGUAAUGUCUCUCUUACAAAGACAUUAUUAUUAAUGUCUUGUACAUUAUUUUAGGUAAUCUUUGUAACACUAUGAAUCUGAUAUUACCAGUCCCCUUUCAUAGAAGACAUAAACUCUGAUAAUUUGGGAUCACUAGAAGACAGGUUGGAAGACUUCUAGUUCAGCCUCUUGGUAAGGUAUAUUUUCAUAGAAAAGAAAUCCUUUUAUUACCAUUUUCUGUAACAAUUAAGGCUUUUGCAGCCCUAGGUUCUGAAUCAGAGACUAGCCUGUUUCCCCUAUUCUAAAUUCCACUAUCUCUUUUUCUGCCUUGUAAAACAUCACUUUUCACCUUUUAUCAUCACAUCUGGGUUUAGGGUUAUUCUCUUUGAGGUAGUCCAUAGGAGAAAGAUUGCAUCAGAAGUCCUCUGAGAUGGCUGCUAGCCCUAAAGGUUCUGUAGCAUUUUAUUUAGAGAUGUAGAAUGAUUCCACCAUUACAACAAUGUCGGUGGCUGGAAAUGGAAAGAAACAUAAGAUGAGUUAGGGCUGUGGAUGGGUCAAGGUAACUGAAGUCUUAGUUAUGUCGUAUCUCUGUGUCUUGCUAAAAGGCAGAGUUGUCUAACAACCUAAAUGUCCAUCAGUUGUGACGAAUUAAACUAUGGUAAAUCCAUACAAUGGGUAAAUCCAUACUAUCAGUUCUUUAAACAGUGGUAGAAAGCUACACAUUUUUCUGGGAAGAUAUUCAUGGUAUAGUAUUGAGUAAAAACAGGCUAUGAAACACCAUGUCAUUAAUGUAAAAAUGUGUACGUAUAUAUGUGUAUGUAAUUAUGUGUGUGUAUAUGUGUAUGUAAUUACAUGUAUGUGUGCACUUGUGUAUAUAAUUUUAUGUCUCUAAGAUGUCUCUACUUUAAGAUAAUACUAUUGACCAGACAUUCACUAUUUGCUAGUUACAUGCAUUAUCUUGUCAGAACUUUACAGCAAUUCUCAAGUAAAAUAUUAAUAUGUUUUAGAUGAGGCAAGCAGGACUUUAGAAUGUUGAGAAAUUGACCCACAGUCACAGAGCAAGCAAAUGACAGAGCUGGAACAGUAAUGUCAGACUGUCUAACUCCACAGGAGAUGCCCUCAAUCACUGUAUCACACCCCUAUAAAGAAUACAAGAAAUAUCUAGUCUCUAGUAACGACCAUGACAGUCCAUGAGCAUCAUUUCCCCUGUUACUUCUUCUCCAGGGACACAGUGAGCAGAUCAUUAUGAACUCGAAUCAGCCUUGACAAAGAAAGUUCAGCACUCACAAACCUAUUCAAAACUGAGUGACUUAAUCCUCUUCAUAUACCAAUGUGAUGAUUACUUUUAUGUGUCAACUUGACUGGGGUAAGGGAUGCCCAGAUGGCUGGUAAAACAUUAUUUCCAGGUGCAUCUGUGAAGAUGUUUCUGGAAGAGAUUAGCAUUUGAAUCAGUAGACUGAGUAAAGAAGGCUGGCCCUCACCAAUGUGGGAGGACACCAUCCAUUCCAUUGAGGGCCCGAACAGUACAAAAAGGUAGAGAAAGGGCAAAUUAACUUUCUUCUUGAGCUGAGACAUCCAUCUUCUGCUCUCAGACAUCAGAGCUCUGGGUUCUUGGGCCUUUGAAUAGGAUGUAAGUCCUAUUACAUCAGCAGCAUCCCCAGUUCUCAGGCCUUCAGAUUUAAACCUGGAGUUAACAUCAUCAGCUCCCCUGAUUCUCAGGUCUUCAGACUUAGACUGAAUUACACCAGGGGCUUUCCUGGGUCUCCAGGUUGCACGUGGCGGAUGGUGGAACUUCUCAGGCUCCAUAAUCCUGUGAGCCAAUUCCCAUGAUAAAUCUCCUCUCAUAUAUAAAUAUAUACACAUUACAUAUACAUUAUAUAUGUGCGUAUUAUAUACAUUACAUAUAAUAUAUAUACAUUAUAUACAUUAUAUAUAAUAUACAUGAUAUACAUAGUAUAUGUUAUAUACACAUUAUAUGCUAUAUAUAAUAUAGCUGACAUAUCUAUAGAUAUACUGUUAGGUUGGUGCAAAAGUAAUUGCAGUUUUUUUGUGUUUGUUUUGUUUUGUUGUUUUUUAGAAAGCUGCAGAAAGUGAAUUUCUCUUGCUUUUUAAAACAGAAUAUUUCCCAAACUUGGGCAUCAAUGCUUGUUUUUUUUUAGGUGGGGGAUAAAAGACUGGGCCAUCUUCACAUACCCUCAGACCCCGGCUCUU
rnacentral:lncRNA from 10 species